GCCAAUACCAUGGCAGUGCUACAUGUGCUGCUAGCAAUACUCCUCUUCCUAUCUAUCUUCCUUAUUUUACCUUCAGCUUUAUCUACCUGAUGAGUGGAAGGUCUCACUUCAAGGAGAAACACCUCAUCCGGUGAUAUUCGAAGUGGAUCUUGAAUCUAAAAAUAAAGACAAAAUAAUGAGAUCCCUAAUUUUAUAAAAGAAAAAAAUAAUAUCAAACAUCAAAAGUAAUACUACAUCUCCAUCUUUCAGCCCCUUCA
rnacentral:lncRNA from 1 species